CUCAUUCAACCAUGGUUCGUCCGGAGGUAAGCUGAUCUGAUGUGUUUGUCUUUGCUAAAAGAAAUGAAGAACAGGUCCAAUGUUUGGAGGUCCUUGAUGGAUGAUGAACAAAAGGGAUUGGGAAGGAAGCUGGAGCAAUGUGUCCCACUCUCAAGGUACACGUGUGCAAUGUGGCUGAAUUGAAAGGGGUGCUCCAGAAGCAAGCAUUGGAUGCAUGAAGUUUUUAUCAGUGAGACACUAAAUGGGCCCUGUAGAGCAGCACACAUUCCUGAUCUUUAAGUUCAUCUGUCUGUGGGAAUGAAUAGUCCUUCAACUGGCACACUUCUAGGGCUGAUGACCAAGGUCAUUUCAGAGGGGACCAGCUGGGAGUGUUUGUAGCAGAACCCAUGAUGUCAUGGUUCUUUUUGUGAUGGUAGCGUUCAUCCCUGUUGACCAA